CCCAGACUCCUACGGGAGGCAGCAGUGGGGAAUAUUGCACAAUGGGGGAAACCCUGAUGCAGCGACGCCGCGUGAGUGAGGAAGUAUUUCGGUAUGUAAAGCUCUAUCAGCAGGGAAGAAAAAAUGACGGUACCUGACUAAGAAGCACCGGCUAAAUACGUGCCAGCAGCCGCGGUAAUACGUAUGGUGCAAGCGUUAUCCGGAUUUACUGGGUGUAAAGGGAGCGCAGGCGGUACGGCAAGUCUGAUGUGAAAGCCCGGGGCUCAACCCCGGUACUGCAUUGGAAACUACCGGACUGGAGUGUCGGAGGGGUAAGUGGAAUUCCUAGUGUAGCGGUGAAAUGCGUAGAUAUUAGGAGGAACACCAGUGGCGAAGGCGGCUUACUGGACGAUCACUGACGCUGAGGCUCGAAAGCGUGGGGAGCAAACAGGAUUAGAUACCCCAGUAUA
rnacentral:rRNA from 1 species